rnacentral:rRNA from 1 species
GACGAAGGGGGCUAGCGUUGCUCGGAAUCACUGGGCGUAAAGGGCGCGUAGGCGGCCAUUCAAGUCAGAGGUGAAAGCCCAAGGCUCAACCUUGGAAUUGCCUUUGAUACUGUUUGGCUUGAGACCGGAAGAGGUAAGUGGAACUGCGAGUGUAGAGGUGAAAUUCGUAGAUAUUCGCAAGAACACCAGUGGCGAAGGCGGCUUACUGGUCCGGUUCUGACGCUGAGGCGCGAAAGCGUGGGGAGCAAACAGG